UCCUAUUUAGCAAGCACGUUCUCCAGACUGUAAACCUCAGAAGACACGACCUGCCAGGGACAAAAAUUUAAGAGUUGUGAAAAAAACCCCAAGUGAGACAUUAUUCCAAAGAAUUCAGGUCUCCUGUGUCACAGGGGCCUUGCAAAGGUGAAACAGUGUCGGUAACCUUCAAGGCACACAAAGAGGUACCAGCAAAGUUGCCCUUCUGAUGUUCAGAAUGGUGCAGGUGAAGCUGCAAUCCAUAGCCUGGUGGAUUUUCGAUCCACGCCUGGCAAGAUGACUGAUCCGUCACAGGAUGGCUUUUUAACGGGGUUGAGAUUCACUACGAGCCACCACAUCUUUUUCAACAGAGAGCUUCAACAGCCACAAUACCUUGUCACUUCAGAGACACCUGGAUUUCUGCAGCUAUCUUUGUCCAUAAAUGAAUUAUGGCUAGGGCACAAGGACAAUUUAAUUAGCAGCUGAUCCGGGUUAUUGGGCUUUGUGCCAAACUUCAAGCCAACUUCUUAGAGGACUCGCUAUCCUGGGUUCCCGCGGCCGAGAGGAGGAAAGAUCUGCCCCGCCACCCACACACUGAAAAGACGACGAAGCACGGGAAGACUCCCACCUCAAAUCACCCGAGUCCCCCGAGAUUCGCAUUUAUUCUCCAAUGUACAAGGGGAGAAGCACAAUCUGAGCAGGGCUCUUAGGCAGCCUUCAAGGCUAGGUGGCUGCUGACACACCAGGAUCGAGAUCCUCUUUUGUACAGAGAAAAAAAUGCUGAAAGACAAAGGCAGACACAGACAAAGCCCAAGAAAACGUGUGUGGUUUGCGCCACCCCACCCCCCACCCCCCUGCCCUGCACACUCCAGGCCAGGCCGCUCCCGGUGUUUCAGGGAGGGGAGACCCUGCACUCAGACUGGCUCCUCUUCUGAUGCGACCUGCUUGACAUGCUGUCGUCAUUCCGGCCAACGAGGAAGGCAGCAAGGCCACCUCAGCACGCGUCUGCUCCCUUCCCUGCUCCCCUGACAAGAGCUGGGCGGUCAGUCUACACACAUGGAAGACAGAGGGCACCAAAAAGCUCUGUGAAUAAAACUUUAAUAAUGUACAGCAGAAAUUGGACAGGCUCAUUCUUAUAUUAAAACAAAAGAUUUCCUAUAUUACAACUUAUUUACAUUUGCAUACUGAAGAGGUAAAGUGUCUAAGUGGCUAUUUUACAGUCCUUUCUAAUAAAAUGUA